rnacentral:rRNA from 1 species
UACGUAGGCAGCAAGCGUUGUUCGGAAUUACUGGGCGUAAAGAGUGUGUAGGCGGUGCUCCAAGUCUGGUGUGAAAUCUCCCGGCUUAACUGGGAGGGUGCAUUAGAAACUGGAAUGCUAGAGGAUGGGAGAGGUAAGCGGAAUUCCUGGUGUAGCGGUGAAAUGCGUAGAUAUCAGGAGGAACACCUGUGGCGAAAGCGGCUCACUGGACCAUAACUGACGCUGAUGCACGAAAGCUGGGGGAGCAAACAGG